rnacentral:rRNA from 1 species
GACGAACGCUGGCGGCGCGCUUAACACAUGCAAGUCGAGCGAAGCGGCGGACGGGUGAGUAACACGUGAGUAACCUGCCUUAGACAUUGGGAUAGCCUCGGGAAAACGGGAUUAAUACCAAAUGGUCUAAGAUGGACUCGCGUCCCAUUAGCUAGUUGGUGAGGAACGGCCCACGAAGGGGACGAUGGGUAGCCGGCCUGAGAGGGGGAACGGACCCAUUGGAACUGAGGAACGGUCCAAACUCUGCGGGAGGCAGCAGUGGGAAAUAUUGCAGAAUGGAGGUGACUCUGGUGCGGCGACGCCGCGUGAACGAAGAAGGCUUACGAGUCGUAAAGUUCUUUUAUAUGGGAAGGGGUACCAUAAGAAAAAGCCCCGGCUACCUCGGUGCCAGCAGCGCGGUAAUUC